GGGGUUGUGACUCAGUGGUAGAGCGCACACCUUUCAUGUGUGGGGCACUGGGUUCGAUCCUCAGCACCACA
rnacentral:tRNA from 1 species